GUGAGGACAACUAAUUUAAAAUCAGAUUAAAUUUGUGUAAAUUUUUAUGUUGGAGGACUUUUUCACUAACAGACUCAAAUGGAUAUUUUCAGUUUGUGGCUCAUUUGCAGAAUGAUUUUGUUCAUGAGACGGGGUGAAGGUGCAAGAUACUGACUCCGAUUCCUGAUGGGCAUUCCAGCGCAGCCCAGGGCAUCUGGAACGAUAUUUUCCUUUGAAGGCUGCUUCUACACUGCCACAAGCACAGAACUGACAACGAGGUAUAAUUUAUCCACAAAAGAAAUAGCAGGCUCAGCAUUUCAAAGUGAAAUUUACUAAUGAAGAUUGCUCACGACAAGAAGAUGAACAUUCAUGACAAGUUCUCCUUGAAGAACAACCACC
rnacentral:lncRNA from 1 species